GGUUAAGUGACUAAGCGUACACGGUGGAUGCCUUGGCAGUCAGAGGCGAUGAAAGACGUAGUAACUUGCGAUAAGCCCAGAUUAGGUAGUAACAACCAUUUGAGUCUGGGAUUUCUGAAUGGGGAAACCCACGUGCAUAAGCACGUAUCCUUACCUGAAUACAUAGGGUAAGGAGGCGAACCGGGGGAACUGAAACAUCUAAGUACCCCGAGGAAAAGAAAUCAACCGAGAUUCCGAAAGUAGCGGCGAGCGAAAUUGGACUAGCCCUUAAGCUUUACACGCGUUAGACGAACGGUCUGGAAAGUCCGACGAUACAGGGUGAUAGUCCCGUAGUUGACGACGUGUGUUCAGUGAAAUCGAGUAGGGCGGGACACGUGAUAUCCUGUCUGAAUAUGGGGGGACCAUCCUCCAAGGCUAAAUACUACUGACUGACCGAUAGUGAACCAGUACCGUGAGGGAAAGGCGAAAAGAACCCCUGUGAGGGGAGUGAAAUAGAACCUGAAACCGUGUACGUACAAGCAGUAGGAGCAGGCUUUGUCCUGUGACUGCGUACCUUUUGUAUAAUGGGUCAGCGACUUAUAUUCAGUGGCAAGGUUAACCAUCUAGGGGAGCCGUAGGGAAACCGAGUCUUAACUGGGCGUUCAGUCUCUGGAUAUAGACCCGAAACCAGGUGAUCUAGCCAUGGGCAGGUUGAAGGUUGAGUAACAUCAACUGGAGGACCGAACCGACUAAUGUUGAAAAAUUAGCGGAUGACUUGUGGCUAGGGGUGAAAGGCCAAUCAAACCUGGAGAUAGCUGGUUCUCCCCGAAAGCUAUUUAGGUAGCGCCUCGGACGAAUACUACUGGGGGUAGAGCACUGUUAAGGCUAGGGGGUCAUCCCGACUUACCAACCCUUUGCAAACUCCGAAUACCAGUAAGUACUAUCCGGGAGACACACGGCGGGUGCUAACGUCCGUCGUGGAGAGGGAAACAACCCAGACCGCCAGCUAAGGUCCCAAAUUACUACUAAGUGGGAAACGAUGUGGGAAGGCUCAGACAGCCAGGAUGUUGGCUUAGAAGCAGCCAUCAUUUAAAGAAAGCGUAAUAGCUCACUGGUCGAGUCGGCCUGCGCGGAAGAUGUAACGGGGCUAAGUAGUAAACCGAAGCUGCGGCAAUGUGCUUUUGCA
rnacentral:rRNA from 1 species